rnacentral:tRNA from 5 species
AGCUCCGUGGUGUAGCGGCCAAGCAUACCGGACUUUGGAUCCGAUGACGGCAGUUCAAAUCUGCCCGGAGCUG